rnacentral:rRNA from 1 species
AGAGUUUGAUUAUGGCUCAGAUUGAACGCUGGCGGCAGGCCUAACACAUGCAAGUCGAGCGGCAGCGGGAAAGUAGCUUGCUACUUUUGCCGGCGAGCGGCGGACGGGUGAGUAAUGCCUGGGGAUCUGCCCAGUCGAGGGGGAUAACAGUUGGAAACGGCUGCUAAUACCGCAUACGCCCUACGGGGGAAAGCAGGGGACCUUCGGGCCUUGCGCGAUUGGAUGAACCCAGGUGGGAUUAGCUAGUUGGUGGGGUAAUGGCUCACCAAGGCGACGAUCCCUAGCUGGUCUGAGAGGAUGAUCAGCCACACUGGAACUGAGACACGGUCCAGACUCCUACGGGAGGCAGCAGUGGGGAAUAUUGCACAAUGGGGGAAACCCUGAUGCAGCCAUGCCGCGUGUGUGAAGAAGGCCUUAUGGUUGUAAAGCACUUUAAGCGAGGAGGAGGCUCCUGUAGUUAAUACCUACAGUGAGUGGACGUUACUCGCAGAAUAAGCACCGGCUAACUCUGUGCCAGCCGCCGCGGUAA